rnacentral:rRNA from 1 species
GAUGAACGCUGGCGGCGUGCCUAAUACAUGCAAGUCGAGCGAACGGACGAGAAGCUUGCUUCUCUGAUGUUAGCGGCGGACGGGUGAGUAACACGUGGAACCUACCUAUAAGACUGGGAUAACUUCGGGAAACCGUAGCUAAUACCGGAUAAUAUUUUGAACCGCAUGGUUCAAAAGUGAAAGACGGUCUUGCUGUCACUUAUAGAUGGAUCCGCGCUGCAUUAGCUAGUUGGUAAGGUAACGGCUUACCAAGGCAACGAUGCAUAGCCGACCUGAGAGGGUGAUCGGCCACACUGGAACUGAGACACGGUCCAGACUCCUACGGGAGGCAGCAGUAGGGAAUCUUCCGCAAUGGGCGAAAGCCUGACGGAGCAACGCCGCGUGAGUGAUGAAGGUCUUCGGAUCGUAAAACUCUGUUAUUAGGGAAGAACAUAUGUGUAAGUAACUGUGCACAUCUUGACGGUACCUAAUCAGAAAGCCACGGCUAACUACGUG